ACCGAUCACCAUCCCAUCUCUACCGUCAACUCAGAAUACCUCGACAACAUGCAGUUUCGGUGACUCCCAUGAACAAAAAUGAUGUCGGAUUCCAAUGAGAGUGCGAGAAAAUCGUGAGGAGAGAGAAAAUGAAUUUCUAAACUUUAAAAUAUCAUAUCUUGCAAUCUGAACAUAUGAUCAAAGUGAUUUCAGUGGUUAUGGACUCCUAGUUAAGAGAGUUUUCAAAUGGGAUUAAUUUUGCAGGAUUUGGUUCUUAUUUUUAACACCGAUAAGGGGAG
rnacentral:lncRNA from 1 species